rnacentral:ncRNA from 2 species
AGUAAGGAUAGAGGCGCAAAAACCAUCAGUACACAAUUCGAGGAUGAUGAGAUCCUAUGAAGAUUGUGGAAAGGGGAAUUUGCCGAAGCGGAAGGGAUUCUCAUUGUCUCGAAGCUGGUUCUGGGCUGAACAAGUGCAGAAUUGUCAUAUAGGCGACUAUAUGGAGGGCUAUCUUGCAA